CCUACGGGAGGCAGCAGUGGGGAAUUUUGGACAAUGGGCGCAAGCCUGAUCCAGCCAUGCCGCGUGCGGGAAGAAGGCCUUCGGGUUGUAAACCGCUUUUGUCAGGGAAGAAACGGUCUGGGUUAAUACCCUGGGCUAAUGACGGUACCUGAAGAAUAAGCACCGGCUAACUACGUGCCAGCAGCCGCGGUAAUACGUAGGGUGCAAGCGUUAAUCGGAAUUACUGGGCGUAAAGCGUGCGCAGGCGGUCCUAUAAGACAGAUGUGAAAUCCCCGGGCUCAACCUGGGAACUGCAUUUGUGACUGUAGGGCUUGAGUACGGUAGAGGGGGAUGGAAUUCCGCGUGUAGCAGUGAAAUGCGUAGAUAUGCGGAGGAACACCGAUGGCGAAGACAAUCCCCUGGACCUGUACUGACGCUCAUGCACGAAAGCGUGGGGAGCAAACAGGAUUAGAUACCCUGGUAGUCCACGCCCUAAACGAUGUCAACUGGUUGUUGGGAAAGGUUCCUUCUCUAGUAACGUAGUACUACGCGUGAGUAGUACGCCGUCGGGAGGUACGGCCGCGAGGUUAGUAACGUACAAUAGAAGUUAGUACGGCGUGAGACGUGCCGACGGACGACGACGAGGGAGGUUAGG
rnacentral:rRNA from 1 species